rnacentral:rRNA from 1 species
CAAUAGCGUAUAUUAAAGUUGUUGCGGUAAAAAAGCUCGUAGUUGGAUUUCUACCGAAGAUAGCCGGUCGGGUCUUCGAACUUGUAUCUGGUUUUGUCUUUGGUAUCCUCAUAGGGAACGUUUCUGCGCUUUAUUGCGUGGUGCGGUAUCUAUGACUUUUACUUUGAGGAAAUUAGAGUGUUCACGGCAGGCAAACGCCUUGAAUAUAUUAGCAUGGAAUAAUAACAUAGGAUCUUCGUCCUAUUUUGUUGGUUUCUAGGGCUAAGAUAAUGAUUAAUAGGGAUAAUUGGGGGCAUCUGUAUCAACGCGUCAGAGGUGGAAUUCUUGGAUUGCGUUGCGACAAACUACUGCGAAAGCAUUUGCCAAGGAUGUUUUCAUUGA